rnacentral:pre_miRNA from 1 species
CAUGUACUCCCUCCGUUCCGAAUUACUUGUCUCAGAUUUGUCUAGAUACGGAUGUAUCUAGACUCAUUUUAGUGCUAGAUACAUCCGUAUCUAGACAAAUCCAAGACAAGUAAUUCGGAACGGAGGGAGUAUGCG